CCAAGGGUCCUUAUUACCAUGGGAAUUACAGCUGGCUCUAGGAUGCGGGUCCCUUGAUAGUGCACAGAGUCCUAUGUUACAUGCUUUCAGCCAGCCACAAAUGUGCCGGCCGGCCAGGUAGGGCUCAGGCCUAGAGUGAGGGUUCGCGGGCCCAGAGUGCAGAAGAGAAUAACUCCCAUCCCUGUUCCCCAAGUCUGCACAGUCUACAGAAGCAAACGGGUGUCAAAUACAGGUCUUGAGCUACAGUGAGCAGCCAGACGGCCUGAGCGCAGAAUCCCAGCUCUGCCACUUACACGGUGUCUCCUGCCUCCUCCUCUCCAAUGAAAAUCCUCUCCUUCCAAGCUCAAGUACAAAGAAGCGUGACGUGGGCCUAGAGAUGCCGGCUCAGGGCUUCAGAGAGCUCGCUGCUUUUGCAGGACACCAGAGGUGAGAACUAUUCUUACAUCAACACUACUAAGAGCCAACACAUACAAAAGAUAAAAAUACCUACUCGGUACUUCGGGGAGUCCGUAUUCAUCUACCCAGCAAUCAUCCCCCUGAAACCAAGCUGCCCCGUGUAAGUAACCAACAGUGAUAGUGACACACCAGGCUCUGGACCAUCUCACCUCAUCCUCACACUGCUCUGGGAGGCAGACAAAUCACUCACUAGGGCAGUCAAGUGACAUUUGUCGUCAUUUAGCUAUCUAGAAGGGAAAUGAGAUUUGGAUCAAGUUCCAUUGGACUCAGAAGACCAAGUUCUCACAAAUCCCGCCAAGCCACCGUCAGUAAUAUCUAAAGGAACUUUCCACAAUGGUGGAAAUAGCCCCUUAUCUGUUGCUCCUAGGCACACGGGGGUUCUUGGACCCUCAAAAUGGUGCAGAAGAUGCAGUUGGGGACUAAGCCUUCCUUUGUGUUAACUAAUUUAAAUUUAAACAACCACAUGGGGUUAGUAGCUAUUCUGUGACCCAGUGGAGGGUGACAUAGUUUUGUAUAAAAAACACCCUAAGAGUGGAACUUUAACACCCUCGAAGGAGAAGCCAACCGCACACACAAGAGCUACCAGCACAUCAGACCAUUUACCGAUUGUUUCUUGAUCUGUCUCAUUUCUCCUGAGGCUAAAGGAACAGAAUCAAACAGAACCACCACAGACUUGACAGAUAACAAUGAGCUUACCAGGGAUAACAGCCAUCCAGCUUCACCACUUCUACAGAUGAGGACAGAGGACAGCAGUGUCGUCUGGUCAGUGUAACUGACACUUGUCACUCAGCCUCUGGUGCCCACUUAAUGGGAAAUCCGGGGUGUGUGCGUGUGAGAUCUCAGAACAAGGGAAAGAGCUCCAAUUAAAGGGACAAUGGAACACAGCACGCUCUUAUCAGGAGACAAGUCCCCUUGUGCAUUCUGCUUCAUGUUUGCCUUUUAAUUGCCUCUAACUCAGAGCCAGAGAUGUGGGCAGCAGACCCAGGCCUCACCACAGGCCCAGAAAUGACAGAGCAGGGCAGCAAUGGACUCCGACAGAACCAGCAAAUUCAUCGAAGCUAGAUGGGGGAGCCACAUCAGAGUGCUCUACAAAGCCAGCAGGACGCUGCCAGAGAAGGUAAUGAAUAUGAGAGUGGGAACGAUGGCAAGCCUCACCAAAGAGAAGAGAGAGGGAUCCCGAAAGGUGGGUAUUGGAGCCCACGCUAAAUAAACAACAUGAGAGAUAGAAGAGCGCCAGAGGGAAGAGCGACUAAAACAACUAACGUGUCACAAAUGGGCUGGGAGAUGGCUCAGUGGUUAGGACACAUUCUCCUCUUGCAGAAGACAUCAGCAGACCCUGAGAAGACGAAACUGCUCCAAGUCAUUACGCUGUGGGUCCAGCUUUCUAAUGCCCAUAUCCACAUCAGUCAUUCAGUAGGUAGGAGUGAGGCCUGAGACUCUGAAUUUCUGACAAGGGAAUGUCAGCGGAUCACACUGACUGACCAGGCCUUUGCUCUCUCUGCUAGACAUAAGCUAGUGCAGUUGGUUGAGGGGCUGAACCAGAUGCUUCAUAUACGUAAGUUUGGCUUCCACGAGUAGAAUUUCUCCAAGCAGAACUCACAACCAUAGCUGGUGAUCUUGGGUCAUUGUCACACUCACACACCCACUCAUACAUUUGAGAACACACACACACACACACACACACACACACUGCUGCAGCUUGAAUUCUGAUUGCUCCCUUACAGCUCGUGUGCUGAAGACCUAGUUCCCAGCGCAGCACUGUUCCGAGGUGGAGUUUCGGAUGGGCCAGAUCAGGAGGUCUCUGACUUUACUGGGGAACUGGGCACUGGUAGUCUUAUAAUUGAUGGCAUUACAGGAGGGUAGCAGAAAUGUCAGCAGGUGGCAAUUGUAAGAAAUAGGCCACUGGGGACUGGGCUUGGAAGAAUAUAUCUUCCAUUCGUCCCCCUUUUUUCUCUCUGUCCCCAUCCCUCUCCCCCAUCUCUGGCCACCGUGAGUGAGCGGUUUUGCAUCACAAUGAUCCGUCUGCCUCACUGCAGUCCGGAAGCAAUAGGACCAAAUGUCCAUGCACUGAUCCCUCUGAGCCAAAACAAACCGUUUCCUCGGGUACUUCGUCACAGCAGUGGAAAACUGACGCAAAACACGUAGACAACGGGAAAGGGGAGAUUCCCAUGCUCUCCAGCAUCUGGCACGGCACACAGGGUAGGGCAGCCCUGAGCCCUGACGCCGUGCUCACCCCACACCUUGAGUCUUAAUCACUGCACGUGCAUUUGAUAAUUGCUUUCUCACUGUUUCUGUGUCUCUGCAACCCCUCCCAAGUCACCGUGCUGCUUAGGCUGGCUUCAAACUCACAGUGAUCCCCCUGCUUCAGAAGUGCUGGGGUUCCAGGCAGAAGCCAACAGAACAGCUAGAAUUGCUUCCAGACAAAGUAAGUCACUCAGAAACAAGAUUGCAAACAUGUCUCCUCUCUCACGCUGACUGUGUGCCCCAAAGUGGCUGCCCACACGGACUGCAUGAGGACUCUGAAACCGAGUUUGGCUCUGAAAGAAUGAUUAUAGUAGAUUAAUGUCCACAGUGGUGAACAGGUGGAGGAAGUGACAUCAUGGCCAGCAGGGGGCAGCCUGGGCAAGCAGGAAGGUCUCACAAGCUGGCUUCUGUGGCCUCCGAUCCCAGAGCAAGAGGCCAGAUAAUUCCUAAAUACAGUUCAGAGUGCAUGCAGCAUGAAGUCCUCCACCACACACGCACACGCACGCGCACACGCGCACACACACACACACACACACACACACACACACGCAUACCAGAGGAAGCCCUUGGCACUGUUUCAUCCUGCCUAUAGGCUGUUUCCUGAAGAAUCAGGUCCCAGGUCCCCUGCCUCCAGGGCAGUGUCAGAAAGGUACACUAAGUCAAAAGAGAGCACCAACCCCGAUGCCCCACAGCAAUGAAUGAAUAAAAACGUGGUAUAGGUAUACCGUGGAAUAGUACAUGGCCAGGAAAAAGAAUGGAAUCAUAUCAUUCGCCAUGACAUGGAUGCAACUGGAGAGCAUUAUGUUGCGUGAGAUGAGGCAAACACAGGAAGUACCACAUGCUCUCAAACAUGUAUAAAAAUGAAAAGUAGAGCCUGAGACAAGGAAGGGAGGGGGAACAGAAGGAAAUUGAGAGGGACUUGUAGGGACAGGAAGGUAGCUGGGGUAAGUGGAAACAGGAGAGAGGCCGGGUAGGAGGGCAGAUGGGCGUGUUCAGAAACACCCGAAUGGACCCCACUCAUCUGGCAGUUCAUGACACACGCACACACAGAGGACCUUGGCUGGACUGAGUGCCGAGCCCCUAGUUUUCAGGGGAAAGUCGCACUAGGAAGGAAAGCAUUGAAAGAUGUGGGUCGGAGUCACGUCUCCCCGACUUUAGAAAAGACACCACCUCACCGCCUUUCCCUUUAAAAGCGAAGGGAUUUGGCCGCUUUUGGUGCUUUCAUCCCAUGCAUCGUAAGAAGAUGGCUUCUGUUUCCAGCUGAAGAGAGAGACACGCGGGCGGUCUUUCCCCCGAGGUGAAGAAACGGCCUAUGGAAGGACUUGUUACAGCUCGCCGCAUUGGAGGUGUCUGUCUGUCCAUGACCACUUGCUGCCAUCAUUGCGGGCCUGUGCUGUGGGGCGGGAAGAAGUGUGGGACGUGACGGAGAACGCCUAGCAGAGAUGCUGAGAAGCAGGAAAACCAGAGAAGGCGGCUGAGGACAGGAUGGGCUUCUGGACGUCACCCCUCCAGAAACCUGCUUCCUCCCACCUCCUCCAAGCCCUUGCAGCUAGGAAGCCAACAGAUGAAGCCAUCAGUGACAUUAGUGCCCUCCUGACCAGUCGCCUCUAAACAAAGCCUUCAAUUCACACACUUGCUUAGGGGACUGUGUUGUUUGCUUUCUGUUGUUGGGUUACAAACACUGACCAACAAGACCAUGCUGGGAAAACACACGGAAACAGCUGACCUGAGCAAGGGG